AAAGGUGAUUACGUAUUAUCAGAUUUAGUUAUGGCGUGUUAUUUAGAUAUAUGAAUGAAUGCUAUUAAAUAUUUACUAAAAAAAGGAAGCAACUCUUGUCUGAAAACUAGGCUUGCCAAAGGUUACCUUCUCGGACUGCAUGGAUUUCGUACCUGCCCGGUGAUUAAUUAUAAAAGCCCGUUAGCUAUUUGUCGUUAAUGAUGAUUUUUUUCUUUCUUUUUUGCUUUCGCUUUUAAACACAUAUGUGUAAUGUAUUUUUUGGCGGAUUCUGAUCUGGGGAUAAAUUAGUAUACUGUUUGCCUUCGUUUAUCCUGACUGAGCACUGCGAUCGAUGUCAUUUAUUUUAAAAUGAAGAAAUUGCGAAUUCGUCGAUUGGACUACAUUUAUGUUGAACGGACUGGAGAAUGUGGAAGAUGAGUCGCGAGGGAAUUGGUUUGUCUUGGUUUUAUUGAAGCAUUUGUAACAGGGUUGCUAAAAGUGAAACGCAAUGCACGUCUAACAAAUAUACUUUUCUCUAAAUAGAGCAAAAUUUCAAUGCUUUUAUGUGACCAUGCUGUUGUAUUUGCAGAAUGUACAAACAAUACAUUAAUAAAAGAGUAAUCAACUACAGGUAUAUGUCUACUGAGUUAUAUUUUUGUAAUCCGCCUAUAUUAUCUAUUGUUACUCGUCGCACGGGUUCUCUCAGCGAGAUUAUUUUUGUUAAUGGAGCCCAGAUUACAUUUUUUCUUGCUAAGUGCUGUAAUUUAAUUUGCAAAAAAUUAAUAAUUAAAGGGCGCGUUUCGUUCAUUUUUAAUUUAACUAGGCAUCGAUCUACUGGCUUAUUCAUAACUAAUAGCUUCCUGUAAUCUCAUAUAGGGCAAAAUCACUGCGUAUUGAAACAUAGUACUGGACAUUCCUGUCGUUUCUUUAAUUGUUUUAAUUUGCAGCAAUAUUUAGCUUUUUUCGUUAUUCUCCCACAUACACACGCACAGUUUGACAAACCACGGUGUUCCUUUUUGAUCGUUGUCAAAGGCCACAGAUGACCUGUACGUGUUGCGUUGUCAUUUUGCUUUUUCCCUAGGCAAAUGUGGUAGUUUACAUACACCUGUAAUAAAAUCCAGCUUGUUUAUGAGUACAGCAUGUAAGUAUGAAAUAUUUUUAGUUUAUGGAAAAUAAUCGUAGUGUUUAAAAUACGAUUUUUUUUGUAUAAAUAGUUGCAAUUUUUAAGUCCCUUUGAAUGGAACAAACCUUCGUAGUGCAAUAAUUAUUAAAUUGUAGAAUAGCGCCGCCUACUGGAUGACAUGUGUAAGUCAUACUGAUGUUAUCGCGUCGACAGACUGCGGUUUUAUACGAUUGUGGGUAGAGUUAAACUGGGUAGAGUUAAACGGGUAAUUCAAUACUACGCCGCUCGUUAACUUCAACGUGUUUGCCAUGUCAAACUAAACAAGGCAACACAUAAUGAAACUUCCAGGUUUUAGUGGGGGGCCUUUGACCAUGUUAGCGUACCGCUAUAUGUGAGAACAGCACCAAUGACAGCUUUCAGUGACCAGCUGGAACUGGGCAGAAAUGGACAUUCUCCAAAUCAACAAUCAUCUCUUUUUAAUGCAGAUCAAGAGACAGAUUUUUAUUGCACCACAGUGUAAGGUGCUCCGCCAUUGUGGAUGCUGACUCAUCACAGGUAAGGAGAUCCACCGCUGUGUAAGGUGCUCCUCCAUUGUGGAUGCUGACUCAUCACCGGUGAGGAGAUCCACCGCUGUGUAAGGUGCUCCUCCAUUGUGGAUGCUGACUCAUCACAGGUGAGGAGAUCCACCGCUGUGUAAGGUGCUCCUCCAUUGUGGAUGCUGACUCAUCACAGGUGAGGAGAUCCACAGCUGUUGUGGCAUCAGCGAAUCUGAUGAUGCUUUUUGAGCCAUACUUUUUAGAGCAGGUGUUGGCCAGCAGGGUUUAGGGACUGAGCACAUCGCCUUGGGGGGAAAUGCUCAAGAUGAUAUUUCCAAUGCGGUCUGAGGUUCCUCGGUCAGGCAGGCCAAGAUCAGAUAGCAAAGGGAGGUAUUUGGGGGAUGGUGGAGUUCAAUGCUGAAGUCAAAUAAAUGAACAUCAAUCUAACAGAGGCAUCCAUUUUAAAUAAUGGCAUUUUAUUAUUAGAGAGUAUUUCAGUUAUCAUGUAAUUUUUAAGUAUAUACAUUUCAUUGCAAAUUGGACUGCAUAUUCAAAUUGUGAAAUUUCUCCCUUAAUGACAUAAACAUUAGGGCAUAAAGUUCAUACUCCUGAUUUGUGCCUAAGACUGUCCCAGCUAAUCAGAAAAAAGAGAGAUGAAUCCCAUAUAUUAUAUAACUUACCAGACGAAUGAUCAGACAUUAAAUGGAAGUCAUACAAUAGAAUCUGGCCCUGCUCCUCAAAAAUAAUGACACUGUUUUUUCAUUUAUGAUGACAUCUGUAGAGAAUCUGAAUUGGCCCCUGAUUGUACAGGUUUAACUGCCCUUGACCUGCUUAAUUGUGCUUUUUUCUUACAUUUACAUAUUGCUCCAUGCAUGCAACAGAACAAAGACAAGUCAUACAUAGAUAUGUACCAGAUUUGACCAAUGAUUGAAGCUCAAAGGUGAAGUCGACACACAGAAUGACAUGGUGUGUUGUGCUUAUAUUGUUUUGCUAUCAAUUUCUCGUGUAAGAGUCAGCCUUGGCAACCAAUGACCCUCUGGAGAACGUCCUGCUUGGGGAGGCUGCACGACACGUUCCAGGUGCCCAUAUCUGCCAUGGCCUGCCUGUCGUUUCUCUCACACAGUUUAAUCCAAAAAUGAUAAAUCCAGGCUGCUUCGAGGGCAUAUGUGGUGGACCAGCAAGGAACCACUGAGGUACCCUGAGCAAGGGUCACAUUGCUGUCCAGUUAUUUGGCUGUGAAUGAACCAAGAAGUUUAUCAACCCGAGGAGGAGACGCAUUUCCUUCCUUUAGGUCACACAAUGUGUAGGAAAGACAAUAAGCCUUUGAAUCUUAACAUUACACAGUGGAAAAUGUGUGUGAAAUUGGACAUAUGUGGAACAAUUGAAACUGUCUUUACAACAAUUUAAUACUAACAGAUUUAAAUUGAAAUAAAAUGCAACAAGAUACGUCAUUGAA